AAGACUUGUGGACAGGUACAAAAGACAAAUACUCUUUUACCACUCAGAACUCACUGUUCUGUGUGAAUUUUGAUACAUUUAAGAAGGAGUAUG
ensembl:snoRNA